CGGGGUUUGGCGCAGUCCAGUAGCGCGCUCGGCCUGGGACCGAGAGGGCGGUGGUGCGAAUCCACCAACCCCGA
rnacentral:tRNA from 1 species